UUGACGGCAUAAAAAUAUCAUAUCCGUCUUGGGUUAAUCUAUUUAAACUACAUGCAAGCAGACAUAAAAUAUUGAAUCAUAAUAACCACACCAUUCCAACAUGUCAAACUUAUCCUACAUAUGUGUUGAAUGUUAGGCUGAUGGGAGUGGAGAUGCUAAGCACUCUCGCUAAGAGCUCGCUAGGAAAAGGAACACCGCCCCUAGCUCUCGCUAGGGGGCUCGCCAGCUUGAAGUCGCUACAUGCGUAACGAGAGGAGAGAGAGGAGAAGAGUAGCACCUGAUUGGUUCUUUCCUUUUUGACCUGAAAGAUCUUGUAUGAGCCAGACAUUCACUGGCCAAGAAAAUAGAUGCUCAAGCUCUCAAUCGUUUCCCCCCUUUUGAAUUCUUCAACUAGAUCCAAUAAUGAAAUGGGUGAUUUGAUUCAUUAAUCCAAUGAAAUGUGUGAUAUGCUUCAAACAUGUUUUCAUUGGUUGAUGUUUUGAACCAACAGCCGUGAUUUGGACCUGAAACAACAUUAGCAAGGAAAAGAUGUAAACAGAGCAAUAACAAGAGCCUGCAACUCAAUUUCAAAUGUAACUGAAAUGGGAGUUUGAACAAGUAUUGCUGAAAUUAUCCGGGUCUAUGAUGGAUUAUGUAUAAAAAAAUAUAUGUAAAAUUUUGUGUAUUAAAAAAUAUAAUUUAUUUAAAUUUGAAAAUAAAAAUAGAGUGUUAGGAGUGUUACCA